CUCGGUAAAACGAGGUAAGACCCCUUGAAGACGACAAGGUAGAUCGGUCCGGUGUGGAAGCACGGCGACGUGUGGAGCAGACGGAUACGAAUCGGUCGAGGGCUUAUCCUA
rnacentral:rRNA from 1 species